CGAGUCACUUAGUUAAAGCUCAGAAUGUGGGGAAAACAGCAUAGGCUCAGGUCCAUGGCAUCCAACUCAAAGAACUUACCAGAAGCAUAUCACUCCUCAACUCUCCAUGCAGGCAUUGCAAUGAGAUUUUAGCACCACUAUGUGACAAUGACAACACUAUAUCUACAUGAAGAUGAUUUAUAGAAGGAUAAGAAAAGGAGUGUGGCAAAUUGCAAGGUGAAAGGAAAAAUCAAGGAAGCAGGAUGAAGUGUGGAGGUUUUGCAGGAAAUGGUGGGAUUGAAAUACUCCAGAAUUGGACUGACAAUAUAUAUAUAUAUAUAUAUAUAGUAAUCCAAAUUCCAUAAUAUACAGAUUUCAUCUGCUGCUAUUUGGAAUUUUUACACUGACUCUUCAGUCAAAAUGCGUAAAUCUGGUGACUUGUAUGCCUGAGAUGGCUCUUGGUCAAAGCUUACAUAAUACCUCUGCACAGGUGGAUAUAAGUAAGUACAGUUAAUUAAUUACACAUUUGUAUUGUACUGGGUAAGAAAAAAAAGGCCACUAAUGUGGCAGAUCUUGUGGGCAAAAUGUCCAGAUGUAAAUCCCAACAGAGUAAUUACAGAAAAGCCAAGAGGUUACCAAGCAAGACAUCACCCAAAAUUCAGCUAUCACCAUAUUUGUACACAGAUAUGGACUUGAUGUUAGAAUAGGAUCAGAAGCUGUUUUCUCAUCCUCUGAAAGUCUUGGAAUAUUUUAAUUCCUUUUCCAACCAGGAGAAAAAAGCAAGAAUCUCAAAGAGACAAAACAACCAAUUCCACUCCCAAAUGAGUAUAGACCUAGAGAAACAGAAAAGCUUAUUUUUAGAUGAUGAUCUUUUCCAUUAAAAUCUUUAUUUUCACUACAGCUACACAUUUCUGAAGGAAUGUGUUUCUGUAACGAAAAAGCUGAGCCUUUCAUUUUGAAGGUACCAAAACAAGGUAUUAAACAAAUGUCAAAUCCUUUUGACUUUAGAAAAAAUACUGAAAGCAAUACUUUGUCAUGAAAAAAAAAGGAAUAACUUUGACAAGUCAGCAUUUUCAAACGUAAGAAAAAAGGAUUUUUUCUUGUAAAUCCCAUCCAGCUCUACACAUCUACAAGAUGUAUUGCAAUGAACUUGUUCUUAUGUGGCUGUGUAUGUAUAUUAGGAAAGAAACCAGACAUAGGCAGACAUCUAGAGGGCUGAAAAUGUUUUUAUUCUUGAUUCUGGCUAGAAUAAAACAGAGAUGAACACCAGAAAAUGUUCUUGAUUAACUGAAUUGAUUACCAGUUAUUCCUAUUUAUUUAUAUAAAUAUAUUUUCAGUUACUCAUCGAUUAAUACAUGUAUUUCAUCUACUGAAGAUAAUACUACAGCUUGAAGAACUAUGAACUGAGAGCUUAAUCAACCAUCUAAAUACUUGUGAAUAUAAUUUAUGGAAAUUUCUUAUCGGUCUGAUGCACAGCACAGCAGGAAGGGCAGCAUGCUAUCAGAGCUGGCAGGCUGUGGGAGCUGAGGCCGUCUCGUAUACAGACAAAAGAGAAAUGUUGCACAAUGGAGCAGUUUAAAGAGCAGAAAGAGUCAUACAAGUUCAAAGGAAAAGGGAAUUGAUAACCUUGCUACCUCUUCAUUCUGAUUCAAAGAGAAGAACAGCAUUGGAAGAAGAUUGUAAAGGAUGUUAGAAUCAGUAGAUUGUCAUAACUUGCUUGUCAUAACUUAAAGGUUGUCUGUGAUGUUGGAUUGCCAGAAGAUUAAAUCCUGUACUGGAGGAAUUGAAAUGUUAAAGUGACACUUUUAACAGUGCAUUUGAUGAAAAUGGUGAUGUCUUCUGCAAGAUGCACUGCACAGUGCUACCGUUCUCUUUUCAGCUUUAUAAGAACAAAAUUUUUGGAGAAAGAAAUUGAGGACUUGGAUCAAUGACUGUGGCUCUCACGUUCUACAGAGCCGUAGUGCUCUCACUCUUGAGGACCUGGUGGAAGCAUAAUGAAGUCAAUGGCUGAUUUACCAUUGACUUCCAUAAAAAUUUAUCUCCUGUGAUCUAAGGUAAUGUCCAUGAGUAAGUGGAAGAUUGCUGAAGCAGUUCAUCUCAUCCUUUUAGCUGGCUAAUAGCCAGGAAAUUACAUGAACUGUUGUGUGUAGAACAGAAAUUAUCUGAUCUAACUUCAAAAAUGUUUGGAGGCAUUUACAUGCAUUAUUAUUUGUUGUGAAGCACUCUUCAUAGACACAACUCUGGGAAAGACACGUAGUAAAUCACAGAAUCAUAGGAUCAGGGCAUAAUACAGAUUUAAAAGGAACUCUGGGAGUCUUCCAGCCUCUCUCUAGAAUUAGCACUGAAGCCCACAGGAAUUCUCCCAUCAAUGUCAAUAAGAACAGGACUAAUGUCAUCUUCUGUGAAUUGCUAUAAUCUAGUGUGUUUUUCUACCUUACAUAACUUCCAAAUUUAAAGGUUUGGGUUUUUUUUUUUUUGUUUUGUUUUGUUUUGUUUUUUUUUGAAAAGUACCUCAGAAGGUAACCUGCUGAGCAUCAGCUGUAGAAGAAAAGGUGAUCAGAAAUGGGACAGACAGGUUGAAAAAGGGCAGAGACAACAGGCCCAAGAGAUGUAGCUGAAAAGAAACAGGUCAGGAAGAGAAGACUGGGGAUAGCUUUCCCUUACAUGUUUAAUCUUCACAGUAGUUGAAUCACUUUUUUUUUUUUUAACAGAUAAUACAUAGUGCAGCCAUAUGAUAUGUGUGAUAGUAAGUAUGUCAACUCUGCCUCCUCUUGAGAGACUGAGAUUAAAGAGGUGGAAACUGUAAAUGCUCUGGGAUCUCAGAAUAAUGUUCUUUUCUAUGGGAAUGAAGUUUUUCCAUUUAGGUUUUGCUGAUUAUUACUUCAUGGGAAAGAUAUUACAAUAUCUCACUACUGUUUAUAAGAACCUGUAGGGAAGGAAAAAGUGUUGAGAAGGAGAAGAGCUAAGUCAGUGUAGGAUUUGAAAGAAAAAACUAUAAUUUCCUGGCUGAACUGCAGUAAAAGAAAUCCAAGCACAAAAGGAGGGAUGAGUAAAAUAAUGAGACAAACACAGAUUGGGAGUAUAUUUCAUUUACUAAAAGGUAGGUGCAGAAAGAAGAGAUAAAUACCAGGAUACAUUGGAGUUGCUUUGUAAAUACAACUGUGAGGACUUUGGAAGAGUAAAAAAUGGCAUUAGUAGGGUGUCAGUCAUGUCAUCCUCAGACAGGCACAUUGUCUGGGUAGCUCUCUGGUAGUGCUUGUUCUUCUCCAUUUGGGCACUAGAGGAGCCUAUUUGGACACUCAUCCUAUAGAUGCCUAUGUUGAGACAGAACAAUUAUACCCUCAGGUGGGACUCCUCUUUUCCAGCCUCAGAUAUCAACAGCAUAGAUCUAUAUUUCUAAAGUAAGCAUAUUAGGCUCUCUUUGUGCUCACUGGGGAGAAAUAAGGGCAAAAUCCGUUCGACCUAUUUGUGUCUUAAGCUCAUUUUGUACAAGAUAAACUGUGUCCUAGAGGUGUCUAUUAUGGGAGUUUAUGGUGUCAAGAUCAGGUGUAAAUGUCUGUAUUCCGGACAUCUUAGAACACCACUCUGUAAACAACUUUACCUUGCAGGCAGAUUUCAGAGGUUCAUUAGGUUGUUAGCAACAUCAACGACACUUUCAUAGCCUGGGUCAUCUAAAGGGCACUGUGAUCAUCCAUGCAUCCUUUACUCUGGGCUGGUUUUGGUAUUAGCUACCUUCUCAGCUUUUUUCCAUUCAUCAGGAUCACAGAAUUGUUGAGGCUGACAGGGCCUUCUGGAUCCAUCUGCUCCAGCCCCUUCUCCAGCAGGGACACCCAGAGCAGGGUGCCCAGGGCCACAUCCAGGCAGCUCUGGGAGAUCCACAAGGAGGAGACCUCACAGCCUCGGGGCAGCCUGUGCCAGUGCUCCGUCACUGCACAGCACAGAAGGGCUCCUGGUGUUCAGAGGGAACCUCCUGUGCUCCAGUUUGUGUCCAUGGCCUCUGGCCCUGGCACUGCAGACCACUGACAGAGCCUGGCUCCGGCAUCAGGCACCCUCCCUUCAUUUAUUCAUGACCAAAACACACCUGCUUCAGGAGACUCCUGCUCUGUCCUUGCUUCCUUCUUCUCCCACCACUGUGCUGGAGAUGACACAUUUCAGCCAUCCAGG
ensembl:lncRNA